rnacentral:rRNA from 1 species
UACGAAGGGGGCGAGCGUUGUUCGGAUUUACUGGGCGUAAAGGGCGCGCAGGCGGUUCUGUUUGUCGAGUGUGAAAGCCCCGGGCUCAACCUGGGAACUGCGCUCGAAACGGCGGAACUAGAGUUCGGGAGAGGAGAGUGGAAUUCCCAGUGUAGAGGUGAAAUUCGUAGAUAUCGGGAGGAACACCGGUGGCGAAGGCGGCGACCUGGGUAGAUACUGACGCUGAGGCGCGAAAGCGUGGGGAGCAAACAGG